rnacentral:lncRNA from 1 species
UGAAUUUGCAUUUCAAAAUUUAUUUGGGAAUUCUAAUUAAGUUGAAAUGAAAUGCGUGAAUGAUUAUAUCUAAUUCCCAUUGAAAAAUGAAUCUCGGAAACAAGCCUUUAGUGAAAAUAUUUUUGUGAUGUUAAAUAUGAUUGCGAUGCAUCUGUGUAUAUCUGUAUGAUGCCUACAUGUAUUAUUGAGAAAUUGUGUGAAAUUAAGUGUACUGAAUCUAUGUACCCUUGUACUAUG